rnacentral:lncRNA from 1 species
UGUGUCUGAGCUCUGACUCUCCUUGUGUGGGUCUUUCUGUGGCUGUUGUGGGGGAUAGGGGUGAGAUGCCCAGGUUAAUGGAGUUGUGUACAUAGGAGGAUUAUGCUGCCUCUGCUGAGUCAUGCAGGUUGUCAGGGAAGUGGGGGAAAGCCGGCAGUCAUAGGCCUCACCCAGCUCCCAUGCAAACCAAAGAGCAGUUCUCAUGGAGCCUGUUUCCAGGUGGUGGGCAAGAUGGGCUUGAAAACUUGCCUCAGGCUACCUGCCUCUCAACUAUGGAAAAAAAGGGCUUGGUUCUUCCCCUGCCUGUGGAGUCUGCACAACAGAUUUGUGCCCUCCCAUGAGUUCUGGCCAGGAGGCUUCUCGCCCUGUUCAAAUUGUUACAAAGUUCAACUAUAGAUUUCUUUCUUCCUGUGGAGUUUCAACACCUGCUCCUCUGGCCACCCUCACAAUGGAUCCCUGUGGUGCCAAGCAGGAAUGGCCUGUUUGGGCACCCAGUGAGCUCCCAGGGCCUUUCUACUGCUUCCUCAAACCCUGUAUUUUGCUCAGCUCUCUAAAUGGAUUCAACUCCAGAGAAGACUAUCAAGUAGUUAGGAAAGAAAGUCAGUGAGAUGUCUCAGGCGUGACUCAGCUACGGAAACAAUAGCAAUCAGAGGACAUUUGGAGAUGAAGAAAAAAAAGAAACAAACUUCAAUACAAUGAGAAAUAUACCAGUACAUGUAUGACACUCAAGUAACAUAAUGAUCUUAAGGCUAAUUUACUACCUCCUUGUUGCCUGACAGAGACCUGGAACCAAACCCAGAACUUCACUUCCCUGUGCCAGAAGGAUUCCAGUGAGCUUUUCCCACAGGCCCUACAGUCUUCUCCAGGUGAACCUCGGUCACUAUCUAUAUUUAUUAAUGGUUUCUGUCCUGUAAAUAUCUUCUAUAAUA